rnacentral:rRNA from 1 species
CGUGCCAGCAGCCGCGGUAAUACGAAGGCCCCAAGCGUUAUCCGGAAUUACUGGGUGUAAAGCGUCUGUAGGUGGUUUCAAAGGUUUCGUGUGAAACUUCGGGGCUCAACCCCGAAUUGCACGGAAAACCAUGAAACUUGAGUAUGGGAGAGGCUAGCAGAAUGGUAAGAGUAGGGGUGCAAUCCGUUGAUACUUACCAGAAUACCAAAAGCGAAGGCAGCUAGCUGGAACAUUACUGACACUGAGAGACGAAAGCGUGGGGAGCAAAAGGGAUUAGAUACCCCUGUAGUCCACGCCCUAAACGAUGGAUACUAAGUGUUCCCUUCGGGGAGUGCUUCAAGCUAACGCAUUAAGUAUCCCACCUGAGGAGUACGGCCGCAAGGUUAAAACUCAAAUGAAUAGACGGGGACCCGCACAAGCAGUGGAUCAUGCGGUUUAAUUCGACACUAAACGAGGAACCUCACCUAGGCUUGACAUUGAUAGAAUUUUCCAGAAAUGGAUUAGUGCCCGCAAGGGAACUUGAAAACAGGUGCUGCAUGGUUGUCGUCAGCUCGUGCCUUGAGGUGUUCGGUUAAGUCCGUUAACGAGCGCAACCCAUGUCGUUAGUUACUAUGUCUAACGAGACUGCCUGAGUUAAUCGGGAGGAAGGUGUGGAUGACGUCAAAUCAGCAUGGCCCUUAUGCCUAGGGCUACACACAUAAUACAAUCGCAUCGACAACGGGUCGCGACGGGGUAACCCUGAGCCAAUCCUUCAAACGAUGCGCCAGUUCAGAUUGUGGGCUGCAACUCGCCCACAUGAAGCCGGAAUUGCUAGUAAUCGCGGGUCAGCUAAACCGCGGUGAAUACGUUCUCGUCUCUUGUACACACCGCCCGUC